rnacentral:rRNA from 1 species
UACGUAGGGGGCAAGCGUUGUCCGGAUUUAUUGGGCGUAAAGAGCGUGUAGGCGGCCUGACAGGUCUGCUGUGAAAACUCGAGGCUCAACCUCGAGAUGUCGGCGGAAACCGUCUGGCUAGAGUCCGGAAGAGGAGAGUGGAAUUCCUGGUGUAGCGGUGAAAUGCGCAGAUAUCAGGAAGAACACCUAUGGCGAAGGCAGCUCUCUGGGACGGUACUGACGCUGAGGCACGAAAGCGUGGGUAGCAAACAGG